rnacentral:rRNA from 1 species
GACGAACGCUGGCGGCGUGCUUAACACAUGCAAGUCGAACGAUGAAGCCCAGCUUGCUGGGUGGAUUAGUGGCGAACGGGUGAGUAACACGUGAGUAACCUGCCCUUGACUCUGGGAUAAGCGCUGGAAACGGCGUCUAAUACCGGAUACGACCUGCCCCGGCAUCGGGUGCGGGUGGAAAGUUUUUCGGUCAAGGAUGGACUCGCGGCCUAUCAGCUAGUUGGUGAGGUAAUGGCUCACCAAGGCGACGAAGGGUAGCCGGCCUGAGAGGGUGACCGGCCACACUGGGACUGAGACACGGCCCAGACUCCUACGGGAGGCAGCAGUGGGGAAUAUUGCACAAUGGGCGAAAGCCUGAUGCGGCAACGCCGCGUGGGGGAUGACGGCCUUCGGGUUGUAAACCUCUUUUAGUAGGGAAGAAGGGCUUCGGCUUGACGGUACCUGCAGAAAAAGCACCGGCUAACUACGUGCCAGCCGCCGCAGUAA